rnacentral:rRNA from 1 species
CCUACGGGAGGCAGCAGUGGGGGAUAUUGCACAAUGGGGGGAACCCUGCUGCAGCGACGCCGCGUGGGUGAAGAAGCGCCUCGGCGCGUAAAGCCCUGUCAGCAGGGAAGAAAAUGACGGUACCUGAAGAAGACGACCCGGCUAACUACGUGCCAGCAGCCGCGGUAAUACGUAGGGGGCAAGCGUUAUCCGGAUUUACUGGGUGUAAAGGGGGCGCAGACGGCGAUGCAAGCCAGGAGUGAAAGCCGGGGGCCCAACCCCGGGAAGGCUCUUGGAACUGCGUGGCCGGAGUGCAGGAGGGGCAGGCGGAAUGCCUGGUGUAGCGGUGAAAUGCGUAGAUAUCAGGAGGAACACCGGUGGCGAAGGCGGCCUGCUGGACUGCAACUGACGUUGAGGCCCGAAAGCGUGGGGAGCAAACAGGAUUAGAUACCCCAGUAGUC